rnacentral:rRNA from 1 species
CCUACGGGAGGCUGCAGUGGGGAAUAUUGGACAAUGGGGGGAACCCUGAUCCAGCCAUGCCGCGUGUGUGAAGAAGGCCCUCGGGUUGUAAAGCACUUUCAGUGAGGAAGAACGCCUGGUGGUUAAUACCCAUCAGGAAAGACAUCACUCACAGAAGAAGCACCGGCUAACUCCGUGCCAGCAGCCGCGGUAAUACGGAGGGUGCGAGCGUUAAUCGGAAUUACUGGGCGUAAAGCGCGCGUAGGUGGCUUGAUAAGCCGGUUGUGAAAGCCCCGGGCUCAACCUGGGAACGGCAUCCGGAACUGUCAAGCUAGAGUGCAGGAGAGGACGGUAGAAUUCCCGGUGUAGCGGUGAAAUGCGUAGAGAUCGGGAGGAAUACCAGUGGCGAAGGCGGCCUUCUGGACUGACACUGACACUGAGGUGCGAAAGCGUGGGUAGCAAACAGGAUUAGAUACCCGGGUAGUC